AAGCCGCUCGGGUGGGGCAUUGUCAGGCCGCGUUCCUGCGCGGCGCGCACGAUGGCGCGCGCCAGCGGGUGUUCGCUGUCCGAUUCGGCGGCGGCCGCC
rnacentral:tRNA from 1 species